CCCCUACCUGGCGCGCCAAUCUGUUGCGGCCAAUUCCCUCGUCGCUUGAUCGUCGGGAACGAGCGCCUGCAAAAGAAGUCCGCACUGAUCGGAGGUGACUCCGGCGGGGACCCUCCGACGGUCAAGUCAGAGAGGAGACUAGGCAACAGUAGAAAAGAAUCAAAGAGCUCAAGAGGAGAGGGUGAGAGCGAGAGCUAGAGAGGAGGAAGGAUUUCAGGGUUUCGAAAAGACCUCCCAGCACUGUUGCCUUCCCCGAUAUAUAUAGUGGAGCGCGAC
rnacentral:lncRNA from 1 species